UCGCUCGCAUUUCGUUUUCGUCUUUCGUCGCGCGUGGUAAACGGUCGGAGGUCUGUCGCUCUACUCGCGAUUCGUGGAUUGUUUGUUGCCGUUUUUAAAAUACGUUUAGUUAGUCCAGCCGCCGUUUUAAGUUUGUUUGUUGCUGCCUUAAUUUGGUCGCGUGUUUCAAGGAAAUAAGCCGAUAAAAGGGAAAAGAAGCAGCUGGAGUAGAAAUACAAGGAGAAGAAGAACCAAAAAAAUGUGAAAAAUGAUUAAUUAAAGACUACCCAAACUAGACUUGAAAGAGAGUGCGAGAGAGGAAAGAAAAUUCAAUUGAGAAAAAGCCGCCGAGAAACGAUUGAAUUCAAGCGAAAUACCAAUAAAAAAAAAAACAAGCAACAACAAAUGCAGAGAUCUGCGGCGUCGUCGCUGCGUCGACGUCGUCCAAAAACAACAGCAACGACUACAAAAACAACAACACGGACUGGGAGAUUCUGGCUUGAAAUGCCGUCGCUGCCAGCAGCGCUGCUGCUGCUGCUUUUUUCAAUAAAAUUCAACAGCUGCUCAUGUUACGCGGGUGAGUUUACCAAAA